AGAGGAAGUAAAAGUUGUNACAAGGUUUCNGUAGGUGAACCUGCGGAAGGAUCAUUA
rnacentral:rRNA from 1 species